rnacentral:rRNA from 1 species
UACAGAGGUCCCAAGCGUUGUUCGGAUUCAUUGGGCGUAAAGGGUGCGUAGGUGGCGCUGUAAGUCAGGUGUGAAAUUUCGGAGCUUAACUUCGAAACUGCAUUUGAUACUGCGGUGCUCGAGGACUGGAGAGGAGACUGGAAUUUACGGUGUAGCAGUGAAAUGCGUAGAGAUCGUAAGGAAGACCAGUGGCGAAGGCGGGUCUCUGGACAGUUCCUGACACUGAGGCACGAAGGCCAGGGGAGCAAACGGG